AUUGAACGCUGGCGGCAUGCCUUACACAUGCAAGUCGAACGGUAACAGGUCUUCGGAUGCUGACGAGUGGCGAACGGGUGAGUAAUACAUCGGAACGUGCCUAGUAGUGGGGGAUAACUACUCGAAAGAGUGGCUAAUACCGCAUGGGAUCUACGGAUGAAAGCAGGGGAUCGCAAGACCUUGUGCUACUAGAGCGGCCGAUGGCAGAUUAGGUAGUUGGUGGGAUAAAAGCGUACCAAGCCGACGAUCUGUAGCUGGUCUGCGAGGACGAUCAGCAACACUGGGACUGAGACACGGCCCAGACUCCUACGGGAGGCAGCAGUGGGUAAUGUUGGACAAUGGGCGCAAGCCUGAUCCAGCAAUGCCGCGUGCAGGAUGAAGGCCGUCGGGUUGUAAACUGCUUUUGGACGGAACGAAAAGCCCUGGGUUAAUACCCUGGGGUCAUGACGGUACCGUAAGAAUAAGCACCGGCUAACUACGUGCCAGCCGCCGCCGUAAUAU
rnacentral:rRNA from 1 species